rnacentral:rRNA from 1 species
GCGUAACGCGUAAGUAACUUGCCCAAGGUAAGGAAUAACGUCGAGAAAUCGGCGCUAAUACCUCAUAAUGCAGCGGAUCCGCAUGGAUAUGUUGUUAAAGGUUUACCGCCUUGGGAUAGGCUUGCGUCUGAUCAGCUAGUUGGUGUGGUAAUGGCACACCAAGGCUACGAUCAGUAACUGGUCUGAGAGGAUGAUCAGUCACACUGGAACUGAGACACGGUCCAGACUCCUACGGGAGGCAGCAGUGAGGAAUAUUGGGCAAUGCACGAAAGUGUGACCCAGCAACGCCGCGUGGAGGAUGAAGGUAUUCUAUAUCGUAAACUCCUGUGAGAGCAGACGAAAGACAGAUUAUUAAUUUGGAUGACUGUAUGCUCAGAGGAAGCCCCGGCUAACUACGUG